UUAGGCGGCCUAGCGCAGGGGCCCCACCUCUUCCCAUCCCGAACAGAGAAGUUAAGCCCUGCAGCGCCGAUGGUACUGGAGUCACAUCCGGGAGAGUAGGUCGCCGCCUU
rnacentral:rRNA from 2 species